rnacentral:lncRNA from 1 species
UCUAAAAUGUCACUCCUAGUUGAAUUCUCUCAUGGUGUAGAGUGACACCUCACAACAGGUUUGAAUUCCAUAGCAUUUUCUAUUGUUUAAACGUUAUUUUUGUGGUUCGUAAUUGGCCUAUUAAGAUAGGUCAAGUCAGAUCAAUCUCCAUUUUCCCUCUGUGUCUCUCUGCAUACUUGCCACCAUCCAUUGGCUUGUUAAGACAGGUCAAUGUUGCUGAUGAUGAUGUACACAAACUGCACAAUCAUCAUGAUCCCUUGGGACCUCACAAUAAUAUUAUCAUGCCUUAUGGAUAAAGAUUAUUUUCUAAUGAUUUAUUUCUAAAAGAAAAUUUAUUCAUUGUUUUUACUGUUUUAUGUUUGUUAGUAUUUCCGAAAAUAUUACAGUGGAAUCAAUCAUUAUAUGAAUAAGAAAUUCUCUUUUAUUUCUUCUGAAGAAUUUCCAAAAAAAAAGACAGCUUAGAAUUCAUAGCUCUAAUAUACACAAUUUGUUUUUAACACCAGUUUUCAAUCUUUCACUAAUUACUAAGUUGCUGUGUACUCCGGGUCAUAUCACAAAUUGAGAACAUUCUUGGAGAUCUGCUAGACUGUACAGAAUCGAAGAACUCGGUAUGGAAUCCUCAUAUAAAUUUUUCAAGAGAUACUUCCCUAAUUUGAUUCCAGGUUCUCUGAUUGGAAAUCUGGUGGAUUUCACCGAGCCAAUUUGCUGAAUGUCCCCUUACUGUAUGGUGUAAUAAAUGCAUUGUUUAUAGACAAUAUUAUAUAGCUGACUUAGUAUUCAUAUUUGUUCGAUGUAGCUCAAAAAUUCACAAAACUAGUUAACUGUAUAACUAUGAAUCUUUAUUUCGAUCCUAUCUUGACCGUUUAACACAAAAAAAGUAUAAAUAAAAACUAAGAUGGAAACAGAUUGAUUAUUCACGAUGCACACAGACACAGGCUCUGAUCUCAAAGAUACUCACAAACUAGCUCGAGCUGACCAUGAGUGUUGCCAGCUCUGCUCACUUAGGAGUUGGCCAGUGUUUCCAACCCUAAAAUCAACUAAAUCUUGUGGCCAUUAUUUAAGCGCACUAACAAUAUUAAAUAUGGUUAACUUGUUUUAUAUAUACAGGGUGUUCCAGAAUGACAUGGACAGACUUAUAUACGACAUGGAUAAACUUAUAUGUAUAUAAUGAUUAUCCUCUCAGUGGAUGGCUAUUUCUUGAUAUGAUGCAAAACACUAACAAGGAGACUACACGACUCAUGACUCGCCGAUUUUGACAAAAAAAUUUGUGCAUGCAGAACUCCACUAAUAAAGUUCAUUGGGCCAGCCAUUCGAUGCACUACUCAAGCAAACUCCA